rnacentral:rRNA from 1 species
GAUGAACGCUGGCGGCGUGCCUAAUACAUGCAAGUCGAGCGAACAGACGAGGAGCUUGCUCCUCUGACGUUAGCGGCGGACGGGUGAGUAACACGUGGAUAACCUACCUAUAAGACUGGGAUAACUUCGGGAAACCGGAGCUAAUACCGGAUAAUAUAUUGAACCGCAUGGUUCAAUAGUGAAAGACGGUUUUGCUGUCACUUAUAGAUGGAUCCGCGCCGCAUUAGCUAGUUGGUAAGGUAACGGCUUUCCAAGGCAACGAUGCGUAGCCGACCUGAGAGGGUGAUCGGCCACACUGGAACUGAGACACGGUCCAGACUCCUACGGGAGGCAGCAGUAGGGAAUCUUCCGCAAAGGGCGAAAGCCUGACGGAGCAACGCCGCGUGAGUGAUGAAGGUCUUCGGAUCGUAAAACUCUGUUAUUAGGGAAGAACAAAUGUGUAAGUAACUAUGCACGUCUUGACGGUACCUAAUCAGAAAGCCACGGCUAACUACGUG